AUUUAGGUUAACAACUAAACCUAGAGCCUUCAAAGUUCUAAAUAAGAGCACNCAGCCCUCUUAAUUUCUGAAGG
rnacentral:tRNA from 1 species